CUCAAAUGCAGGGUUCUUAUGUUUUUCUCUGGAGUGGUAUUGAGGAUUUGCCUAUGCUUCAGCUGCUGCUGUUUGCAAGAUGGGCAGGAGCCCCAGGAAUGCUACCAGCAAAUGCUGCAUCUCAGGUUUAUAGACUGAUGGGACCUGAAAUAAGGAGCUUCCACACGUCCUCCUGAGCCAACCAAGGGCGUAUGGCCUUCUUGUGAGAUCUUGGCCGUGGCUCAGGAGGUGAUACUGAGGAAGAACAGCUUCCAUGAGGAAAGGGGCUGCACCCAGCUGGCAUCCUGCAAUGCAGUUUGCUUGGAGGGGCUUGCUCAGAACAUCUUGGUCCUUGUGCAGGAGGGUCAGGAACUGCUCUGGUGUGUCGUUUGGAAGUUGUUUGUGCUUCAGUGUUUUCAAAGGUUGGCUUUCCCAAUUCUUCUGGCUUUCAGUCUUGUAUUUAGCAGCUAUACCUUUUAUCAGGGAAAGCAUGUCAAGGCAGAUUCCUGCAAGAAAGCAGAACUCCGGUGUUAUUCUGCAGAGGCUUACCAUAGGAUGGCUCUUCCUUUUAGUAAGGAAAAGUUCAGGAGCAAGCCCAAGCCACAGGUUUCAGAUCAGGAUCCAGGCUUCUUUAAAAUACCCUGAAGCUGGGAGGUGCUUGCCCUGGAACAAGAGCUGGCAUAUGGUCAGCUUG